UAAUGUGUCAUUCUAUGUCCCUAUCGUUAUGCCUGCGCCAUAAGAAAGUAGAUGAUGUUAACAAAACCUUUGCUCACUCGUUCUGGCACCCUUGUCAUUUUGGGUUCACAAAGCAAGUGCACUGUUUUCAGAAUGUCUUGCAAGAGGAAAGCGAAAAAAUUCAACCGCUCCUACACAUAAGUGGUAUUCAUCGAUAUGUUGACGAUAUUGGCACGGUCGACGACAUUAAAAGAUGGCCAUUCUACAUCUUGUCCUUCAAUAUACUCUGUGAGGCAAAUGGGAUCUACUACCCGCUAGAAAUUGGACUCGUAGAGUACUCAAUUGAGGAAGGUCUCAUACGAGCCUUCCACAAAUUCGUCGACCCAGGUCUAAUACCUCUUGGCUUUGCAAGUGCUGCAAAAAACCACAGUAAGUUGCACUG
rnacentral:lncRNA from 1 species